UCGUCAAGGGGUGGGCUGGCCUCAUUGCAACCUCAUCCUACCUGGCUGGCCUACAGCACUAAGUCUGGCAGGGCUCAGAGAAGGAAGCUUCCAAGUGGACUUCAUGCAUCUGAAAAGGAGCCACUCUGGGAGCCGCCUCGGAGGCAGCUCUUCUCACUACCUAGGUAACAGCGCUGUCAUCUAUGGCUCAAAGCCACUCACCAGGGAGUUGCUGCAGACCUGUAUGUAUCCUUAUACAGAGAAACAGAGAGAGGCUACUGAGGACCUAAGCCGGUGCCUCAUGGAUAAGGAAACUCCAUGGAAGUUAGAGCUGCCCUGUAAUUUGCAUCCCCCAUAUCUUAGAAACCAGAAUGAAAGGCCUACAGCAGAGACUGAAGAGAGGAAGGCUCAUCACUUGGACCACCAAAGAAAGGUCUCAAGAUCCCUCUGCUAUGGUUAAAUCUAGUCAAGCAACCCAUCCCGGUGCUACUGUGGAAUUCCUGCAAGAGGCAGGAGGCGGUUCAGAGUCAUCAAAGCCAUUUUUACAAGGUAGACAUAGGACUGGGGGAUUAAAGGCUUUCAUGGCCUCACUUGCCAACCUGCCUCCCCCCCCCCCAAGGCUCUGGGUGAGUACCUAUUAACUUCUCUCCACUCUCUAAUCCCAAAUCCAUCUCCACUUUGCAUAUCGACAUGAAAGCCAAUGGCGGUGCUGGCUAAGGUCAGACAACUCCAAGGAAAAGGCCUCAGGGGCAGGCAGAUAGGGAGCCAGGUGCUGGGAAAGGCAAUAGGAGAAACCUCAAGCUGGGCUUUAGUCUACCAGCGACUCCCUCCCCUACUGCUGCCAGUGCCUGAGGCACCAGGGCAGUUUGUAUCUUCUCAAGGUGUAUCCCCAG
ensembl:antisense Uckl1os uridine-cytidine kinase 1-like 1, opposite strand